CAAGUGAGAGUGUGUGUGUGUGUGUGUGUGGUUAAAAAACAUUGUAUAUAGCAUUCUUUCGAGACAGGUGGGUGGCCCUGAAAAGGGCCGUUGGUAUGGGUGGGUGAGAGAUCACCGAGGUAUCUAGGGUGGUGAUGGUGGUGCACUGGAGGCCGUGCUGCUGGAAUCAUCCAUGGGUUCCACAAACUCCAAGAUACGUUGAAGUACAGAGUACAUGGUGUCUAUGCGCUCUUGAACGAGAAGGACCUUGUCAUGGAGUAGAGCCAGUAGAUGUUGGCUUUCAAGUUUACUCACUUUCUUUGGCGGUUCACUUGGCUGGUGGGUGGAUGCUGGACGUUUCUGGGUCUUGUUAGAGCAGUUCAUGCUCUUAUGGUCCUCUUGACCACAGUGGCGACAGGGAUGUGGACAGUCGUAACUGAG